UACCUUUGCCAUUAAGAUUGUUCCAGUUGGAUUCGGAACCCUGCCAGUUCAGUUAGUAUAAAUAGGAUCCCUUCGAGUUGCUUGUUCAGUAAGAAUUUGACCAACUAACACAAGUUAUUACAACUCAAAAAAUCUUCAAAAUUUCUUGACAGCAUCAUGAACUCUAUGGGCUACUUUCUCCUCGCAUUCGUCCUCGUUGGAGCCGCGAUUGCCCAGAAGAAUGGCGAUAGCUGCACCCACUCAGGCGUAAUGGCGCAGGAUGAUGCCGCGUGUGGAACCCAUGCAAACAACAUGUAUUGCGGAACGGGAAGUACGUGCGUUUGCGCGGACGUUUAUGGCAGCUCGACAGCCCAUUUCACCAUCGCGGCGGAUAAAAUGUCGUGUGUACAAGCGUAAACUGAAACCCGAUAUAAUUUGGAUGUGAUCAUGGACUUGCUAAAUCGUACAAUACGUAAUAAUUAGAUUGAACAAUAUUUGCAAAUUUAAGACUGCAUGGGACACCAAUCCUGAAUUUCUGUUUCAUCGGUGUAUGUAUCGUCAAAAUCGUCUAAAUAAAAUCGACUAAAUUGGCAUGAAACUUGGA